GCGUCACUUCAGCAGCACAUAUAUUAAAAUUGGAAUGAUACAGAGAAGAUUAGCAUGGCCCCUGCACAAAGAUGACAGGCAAAUUCAUAGAAUCAUAGAGUCAUAGA
rnacentral:snRNA from 1 species